UACGUAGGUGGCAAGCGUUGUCCGGAUUUACUGGGCGUAAAGCGCCCGCAGGCGGCUUGUUAAGUUCAAGGUGAAAUCUCCCGGCUUAACUGGGAGGGUGCCUCGAAAACUGGCAGGCUUGAGGUGAGGAGAGGGAUGCGGAAUUCCAGGUGUAGCGGUGAAAUGCGUAGAUAUCGUUUGGAACGCCAAUGGUGAAAACAGGUUGCUGGGAGUGUGCUGACGCUGAGACACGAAAGCCAGGGGAGCGAACGGG
rnacentral:rRNA from 1 species